rnacentral:lncRNA from 1 species
ACGUUCGUCAAUUCUGAGGAUGUUCUGUUGUCAAAUUUUAUGUACAAAGACUUCGGUACUUUACAACGUCUAUGCAGUAUUAUAAAUAGGGAGACGCAGGUCACGGCAGGGUAUUGACUGUUACACGCUAACAUCACCUCAGCACCAAAUGUGUACUACCUUGGUCCGGCGGUAUUUUCUGCAGGUCACGGCAGGGUAUUAUCUGCAGUACCAACGCACUUGUCGAUUUGUCAGCAGAAUGGAAAACGGUAUGUCCAGUGGUAUGAGUGAACCAAGUUGGUUGCAGAAAACC